UUGGCAAGUGUCACGGGACAGUCACCUGCAGCAGCCCCAGCCAAAGCACCCGUAGGUGCUAAGGCUAGUUCUCCGCCCGCGGCUGCCCCAAGUAAGCCCAAAAGCACUCCUGCUCCAGCUACAGCACCAGUCUCGGCUCCACCUACAGCUGUUCCGGUUACGCCAGUAAGCGCUCCAGUUGCUGCUCCCACUACACCUGUUGUUGCUGCACCUGUAUCCCCACCAGCAAAAGCACCAGCAAGUUCCCCACCAGCAAAAGCACCAGCAAGUUCUCCACCAGUAGCUGCUCCAGUAAGCUCACCACCACCACCAGUGGCUGCACCAGUACAAUCUCCAC
rnacentral:lncRNA from 1 species